rnacentral:rRNA from 1 species
UACGGAGGGGGCGAGCGUUAUUCGGAAUUAUUGGGCGUAAAGGGCGCGUAGGUGGCCCUGUAAGUCAAAGGUGAAAUCCCUCGGCUCAACCGAGGAAUUGCCCUUGAAACUGCAGGGCUUGAGGCCGGGAGGGGGUAGCGGAAUUCCCAGUGUAGCGGUGAAAUGCGUAGAUACUGGGAGGAACACCGGUGGCGAAGGCGGCUACCUGGACCGGUUCUGACACUGAUGCGCGAAAGCGUGGGUAGCAAACAGGAUUAGAUACCCUGGUAGUCCACGCUGUAAACGAUGGGUGCUCGGUGUCGCGGGUAUCGACCCCUGCGGUGCCUUAGCUAACGCGUUAAGCACCCCGCCUGGGGAGUACGGUCGCAAGGCUGAA